rnacentral:rRNA from 1 species
GCGUUACUCGGAAUCACUGGGCGUAAAGGACGCGUAGGCGGAUUAUCAAGUCUUUUGUGAAAUCUAAUGGCUCAACCAUUAAACUGCUUGAGAAACUGAUAAUCUAGAGUGAGGGAGAGGCAGAUGGAAUUGGUGGUGUAGGGGUAAAAUCCGUAGAGAUCACCAGGAUA